AGAACAUGCUCCUUACACCAAGCCAUGGGCAUCUCUCCCUCUCUCCACCAAAUCGGACCGAAGCAGUAUUUCUUGUAACCAAACUCAGCCAUCCUGCCCUAGUUUUAUUACAGGAGUUGAGAAGCCUCCUCUGUAACCAAGGAGACAAGAAUGUUUCAAAAGCACAUAUGAAGGCUUGAUGCCUGAGAAACUACUAGCGGACAAGUCUAUGGCAAUCAACAAAGAAGCACCGUAUUUCGG
rnacentral:lncRNA from 1 species